rnacentral:rRNA from 1 species
UACGUAGGGGGCAAGCGUUGUUCGGAUUCAUUGGGCGUAAAGGGUGCGUAGGCGGCGCGGUAAGUCGGGUGUGAAAUUUCGAGGCUUAACUUCGAAACUGCAUUCGAUACUGCCGUGCUAGAGGACUGGAGAGGAGACUGGAAUUUACGGUGUAGCGGUGAAAUGCGUAGAUAUCGUAAGGAAGACCAGUGGCGAAGGCGGGUCUCUGGACAGUUCCUGACGCUGAGGCACGAAGGCCAGGGGAGCAAACGGG